rnacentral:lncRNA from 1 species
UCCUGAUGAUGAAGAUUUAGGACCAUAAACCGUGGAGAUCAUGGAUGAUGAUCAGUCGUUUCUCAAUGGUAUUUUUGAAGUCCAAAGUUUGCCUUUUUUUCCCUGGACUCUUACUCUGAAAGGAUUUGGAUCAGAGAGCGUGGCUGUAGAGGGGAAGGAGGAUGGCUCACACUAAGAAAUCAAAGCUGAGCGGUCCACACUUGUGGAUAAUUUAAUCACUGCUAAUGAGGCUCUUUACCCUCAUGUGUCCCACUGAGUGAGACUCUGUUUGUGGUGGAGACCCACGGCUGAUUAUUUAUGAGACGAGUGGAGCUCAGAGAGGGACUUCAGCGUACAGGACUCACUGUCUGCAGGCUCACCUUCAUGGAUGCACUCAGGUUUUAAGUUAAUGUCUAAAACAUACGUACUGAUUCACUACAAACUGUAACCGUCUGUCUUCUCUCUAAUAAUAUUUUCACUCUAACAGCUAAGUCAUACACAAACUCAGUCUGGACAGUUUUCAUGGAUCCACAAACGAACUGAAGUGUUUCUGUCCCAGUUUAAUUUUUUAAACAUGGAGCCCUAUGGGGACUGACUCAAUUCUGUCGGCGGCCCCAAGUGGAUACAAGAGGAACUGCAGGUCUGUCACUUCAACUUUAGUUUUUAACAGCAGAGCUUCUAUGUCACUAUUACAGUGAUUGAGCUGGAACUGAUGAAUAAACAGAUAAAUAAACCAACAAACAAACGAAGAGCAAACAAAUGACGUGACUAACAACCCAAGGAACUAACUAACUUACUAACUAACUAACUAACUAACUUAUUAACCAACUAACUAAAUAACUAACUAACUAACUGACUGACUGACUAGCUAACUAACUGACUAACUCACUAAGUAGCUGCUCACACUUUUUUUACUGUAGGAAGCUCGACUCAAGAUGUUAGUUAGCCAAGAUGUUAGUUAGCCAGACUCACUCUGUUUAAUUUAUAUCAACAGAGUGAGUCCAAGGUUGAUUGGAGCAGCGAGAAGGUCAAAGGUCUUGUUUAUUUUGGACUAAUGAGCAUAUUUGAAAAAAGUCAGAUGAGAUUAGAUUAGAUUAGAUUAGAUCAGAUUAGAUCAGAUUAGAUUAGAUCAGAUCAGAUUAGAUUAGUCGAGGUUAGAUUAAAUGAGUUUAGAUAAGAUUAGAUUGCAUUAGAUUAUGUAAGAUUACAUUAGACUAGAUUAGUUGGGGUUAGAUUAGAUUUAAUGAGAUGAGACUAGAUUAGAGUACAUUAGAUUAAUUCAAACCUAAAUUAAAUUAGAUUAGAUGAGGUUAGGUUAGAUUAGAUAAGAUUGGAUAUGAUUAAAUUAGAUUAGAUCAUAUCAGGUUAGAUUAGAUCACAUUAGAUUAAAUUAGAUUAGAUUAUUGUAGGAGAUGACCGAUUUCUGCUUUUCCUCCUUUGAUUCAUCCUCAAAGGAAUGCAGUGACUGCGGUCACUGAAAGGAGAUGGGGGGUGAAUUUCGACACCAAACCAUGGUCUUUUUAUAACCUCCUGUCUGUGGGAACUAACCAAGAGGUGAUCUUCCAAAAGACAGACAGUCAAUCUUUUGCAUAGCAAAAACAAAGUUGCUAAUUUCUAGCAGGACCCCCAGACUGGAUAAACACUCACCUGUCUGCUCUUAGCUGGAGACUCUCAAAUUUGACUCCUUAACCUUAAACCUUAAAAGUCUACUAUGCAAAGCGAAAGCCAUUUUUGUGUGUGACUGAGCGCCCUGAGAGUGGCAGCAAGUCACAGCAGCUCCUCACAGAGUUUACGUUUUUGCCUUUUUAUUGUUGUUUUUUGCACCUUAUUUGUAUUUCUUUUUUAUUAGCAGGGUUGUGUUUUGCAUACUUCAACCAUGGAUGUGCAUUUCAUGACUCUAGCACUUUGUUUUCUUCUAAUUGUCAGAGUUUUUAAGUCCGCGUCUGGGGACCCGUUCAGUGGCUCUAUUGUUUACAGCCGUGAACAGCUGUUGGCGCUGCGCCAAGCCCGGCCACCUUCGUGGGAGAAACCCGACAUCCCUGCCAAGCUCCGCAGGAGAAGAAGAGGAUGCAGAGCUGGAGUUCAGCAUUGGGCAAAGCGGAGACGUUUUAAGCUUUUUCCUUUUUCUAAAUUUUUUCUUAAUUAUUACAUUUAUUUAAGUUCUUAAUUUUUAUAACUGCAUUUUUGCACUAUCUUUGUCUGUGAUGCUGCUGUGACAAAAAAAUUUCCCCCAUGGGGGAUCAAUAAAGGAAUCUUCUAUUCUAUUCUAUAUUGUAUUUAUCAACAACAUCCAGAAAGUUCAAAAGCCAGCGUCUGUGAUGGUAUGCGGGUGCAUUAGUGCCCAAGGCAUGGGUAACUUACACAUCUGUGAAGGCAACAUUAAUGCUGAAAGGUACAUACAGGUUUUGGAGCAACAUAUGCUGCCAUUCAAGCAAUGUCUUUUUCAUGGACGCCCUUCCUGCUUAUUUCUGCGAGACAAUGCUAAGCCACAUUCUGCACGUGUUACAACAGCGUGGCUUUGUAGUUAAAAAGUGCGGGUACUUGACUGGCCUGACUACAGUCCAGACCUGUCUCCCUUUGAAAAUGUGCGGUGCAUUACGAAGUGUAAAAUACAACAACGGAGACCCUGACCUGUUGAACAACUGAAGCUAUAUAUCAAGCAAGAAUGGGAAAGAAUUCCACCUUCAAAGCUUCAAUAAUUAGUCUCCUCAGUUCCCAAACAUUUAUUGAGUGUUGUUAAAAGGAAAGGUGAUGUAACACAGUAAUAAACAUGUCCCUGUCCCAACUACUUUGGCACUUGUUGCAGCCAUGAAAUUCUGAGUUAAUUAUUAUUUGAAAAAAAAAUAAAGUUUAUGAGUUUGAACAUUGAAUAUCUUGUCUUUGUAGUGUAUUCAAUUGAAUAUUGUGGUGAGACGCCUCCUCCUUCUGUUUUAUUUUGGCUGGACUUCCUGUGUUUCUGUGUUUGCCUGGUCUGGCUUUACUCUCUUCCAGAGCUUCCUCCCCUCCCCCGGUCACUGAAGCUGAGUGAGACUACACACCUGCUCUUCAUCUGCAAUCAAGGCACUUUAAGAAGCCAGCAGCCCUCAGUCUCAGCGCCUGAGUAUUGUCUUCACUUCCAAGUGGUAUAGACGCGUCUCCUGGCCUCCUUCCUUUGAAAUUAGUAUUCGUAAUUCUGCUCCUGAUUCAUUGUAUGUUCACUCACUUCCCUCUCCUCUGUUUUUCCUGCAGUGUCUCCAGCCCACACGACAACCAGCCUACCGGACUUCCUCUUUUUUGCCUUUAAACCUGAGUUUGGACAUUAAAAUUACACCUUAAGUUGAUCUCUGUCUCUGUGUCUGCUUCUGGGUCCUCACAACUCACCAGUCAUGCCACAGAAUAUAGGUUGAAAAAGAUUUGCAAAUCAUUGUAUUCUGUUUUUAUUCACGUUUAUCACAAUUUCCCAACUUCAGUGGAAUUGGGUUUUGUAGAUCUAACUCGCUUAAUAAUCCCGCAUGUUAAAAUCAAUUCACUUGCCAGCCUGAUCAGCCCCCGCUGUGAACAAUGGGUGCACGAGCUCCCCCUCCUUUGGUUCAUGCCCCACAUGAAUGGGUUAAAAGGGCUGAGCUGACACUACCCACUCUCUUAUCAUCUCUUAUCAUCUUUGCUCUUAUCGUCUUUUUGUCUCGUGUGUAUUUCCCCGUUGUUGGCAUUUUUGUCUCCGUCCAUGGUCUUGUAACUUUUCCCCAUGUUUUUAUUCGCCUUAAGUUUUCAGACUUUUCCAGAAACUUGAUGAAACCAUACCCAAGUUCCUUCAGGGCAUCAGUAAUUAGCUGCACACAUAGAGUUCCUAAGUCUAGGUCUUUUAUUUUGUUUAGUUUGCUAUAGUGACUCCUGAAAAUAAUAUCGGCUGGUCAGUGAAAUUAUUUCCUUAAGUUAUUGGCGUGAAUUAAUCUGCAGAAAAGCUAAUCCUGAACACCCAGAGGACCGACCUGCAUCAUCUGCCGAGCUGCGUUUGCCACAAGGUUCCGGAAGGAGAGCACUGUGGGACCCACGGGACGCAUUUGGCGUGCAUUUGUGUGUGACGACAGAUUCAUCGUUCGGCCAGCUGCUAGCCACCCCGCAAAGACCACCUGUAGCCUGGGCCUUCGGUGAUCCGCUCCAAGAUUGCCACUGAGAACCAUCAUCAAUAAGUAGGCAAACCCUCGACACUGAAGAACCGGUGAUGCUGUCAAGCGUUCAGAGCUUAUAAUUUUGAUUAUAGUUUAGUUUCUCCAAAUUCCUCUUCCAAAUUUAUCCUUGUUAACCCCGUUAACGUAGGUUAAAAUUUUCCUUAUCCACUCACUAUCAUUAACCUCCAGGCUUAGCUCAAUUAAAACCAUUCCUUAAUUUAUUCAUUAGAUGUUUGUUUAUUUUCUCAUUAUUUGAUCAUUAUUUAUUGAAUUUCUGUUAUCACCUAGCAUUUGUCAAUAAAUUGUCCAUUUAAUUUUAAGUUGUCGUCUCUUAGUGGUCCUUCAGAAGUGAAGUCCCUGAAAUGAGAUAGAUUAGAUUAGAUUAGAUCAGAUUAGACUAAAUUAGAUUUGAUCAAAUCAGGUUAGUUUAGAUUAGAUUAGAUUAGAUUAGUUUAGAUGAUAUUAGACUAGAUUAGAUUAGAAUAGUUUAGAUGAUAUUAGACUAGAUUAGAAUAGAUUAGAUCUGAUUAAAUUAGAUUAGACUAGAUUAGAUAAAAUUAGAUUAGAUUAGAUUAGAUCACAUACACCUGUUUAAAACCCCUAUUUCUAAACUACUACUAAAUUGACAAACUUUAGUCGUCAGUGAGUGAAACUUGUUCAGUCAUGAACAGCAGCUCCUCCUCCAGGUCAACAUACAAACACACACUGAGGGUCUGGGAUUAUAAAUCUUUGAUCACAGAUUUUCAUCAGGGUAAAAAUCUCUGUUGUUUCUGAGUCUCUGUAUUCACGCCGCGUGUUGCUCUGCAGACUAAUUGGUCAUGACUGCGGAGAUAAAUAACUUACCCAGCAUGCACUGCUGUCAGAACCAAAACAACACUGACAGGGAGUCCGACAGGAAACAUCAAACGUCUGAAUAAACAGAUGUAUGGAGGAAACAGACACGCUACUGAGCAUGCUCAGUGGAGUCACACAGGGUCAGACAGUUUACUGUUAAUGCUUUAACUGAAAGACACGUCAGGAGUCCUGAACCUCUUCUUUAUCUACCUUCACACAGACACACUCACACACUCACACACACACACACACACACACACAAACACACACACACACACACACACACACACACACACACACACACACACACACACACUCAUUGCACUCUUCACCCCGAGGCUGUAAUCAGGGAAAUGUUCUAGCAAAUUUGUUGUGCAAUAGCAACCCCGAAGGAGUCUGAGUAAUGAUGCACUACAACAAACACACUCACACUAUAACACACACACACACAGCAUCAUUGCGUGUGUGUUUGCAUUAUUGUUCACUUUGAUGCAACUAGAUUUUAAACUCAAAGAGCCAGGAGCAGGAGCAGCAGCAGCAGACAGACUAAAGAGCACACACUCCUGCUGUGUAUUUAACUCUGCAGAUGCUCACAGGCAGACAUGAAAAAAAUAUAAAACUCAUGUUUGUUAAAAGAAUCAGACAAAGUUGGAUCAAUCUGAAGACCUGAGAAAACAUCUCCACCACCACAGAUCCUCAGUGAAGGAAAGAACCGGUCAUGUCACAUCAUCCUGGUCUUCCUCACUUCUUCUGGUUCUGUUUGGAUCUCUGAUAACUAAAAACAGGCAUCAUGGAGCUUCAGAGGUGAGAGCUGUCAGAGGAGGAUCAUCUCCACAUGUCACAUUUACUGUCAGAUCUAACCCUGAAUUUCCACUGCAUCUGAAACAGCUCCGAUCCAGAACACCGUCCGACAAUUCCUACCAGAUCCAUUGGUGAGGCGAAUUUCGUGGCGGAUUAUGGACAGCGGAAAUCCUGAGAACUCACAAGAACCCGCGGAUUCACGUUCAAUCGUAUGAUAACAAGCUGUCUCUAUAAAGACAGACACAUAGACAUAUAAGCAGUAGAUUGUGUCCUUCCAGUGGAGGAAAUCUACUUCUAGACUUCUAGAAUCAGCAUCUCCUCAUCCAUGGUGUCAUUGGGGUGAAAUGACAACUAAAAACCUUUCACUUGUUUGUCUCCGCCCGUUUGCAUGGUGUGAAAUACGAUCCUCCUGAAACACGGAGUGUUUUAUUUUGAAAAGAAGCUGGAAGUUUUAUUUUGUGUGCAAGCCGGUGGAAAUUGACACAUUAACUUAUAGAUACGAUCUUUUCAGAGCCAUUCAGGAUGCGGUUGAAAUUCGGGGGUAAGAGAACGUUGGCUCACAGUUUUCUCACCUAAACCAGCAGGUGACCAUCAGGUGAGCUUGGCUCUCUUCUCGUUCACUCAGAAGGUCCUCUGCUUCUUGAAGGUGUGGUCCACAUGUGUCUGCAGUAAUGUGGAUGUGUUUUUGAUGAACUCAUCUGCAGAUGGGGGAGCACAUUUGUAGGAAGUUGACCUUCUGAUGGGGGUGGCACAGUGGUGUAGUGGUUAGCACUGUCGCCUCACAGCAAGAAGGUCCUGAGUUCGAAUCCAGCUCAGGGCGUUUCUAUGUGGAGUUUGCUUGUUCUCCCUGUGUCUGUGUGGGUUUACUCCGGUUUACUCCCACAUCCCAAAAACAUACUUAAGUGGGGUCAGGUUAACUGGCCACUUUCAAAUUGCCCAUAGGUGUGAGUGUGGAUGGUUGUUUGUCUCUAUAUGUCAGCCCUGCGAUGAACUGGCGACUUGUCCAAGGUGUCCACUGCCUUCGCCCUAAGAUGCUGGGAUAGGCUCUAGCCCCCCUGCGACCCCGGGAACAGAGAUAAGCGGUAGAAAAUGGAUGGAUGGAUGGACCCUCUGAUUGUAAGGUGAAGUGCUGUAAUGUUUCAAAUUCAAUCAAUCAAAUUUUAUUUAUAUAGCGCCAAUUCACAACAGUCGUCAUCUCAAGACGCUUUUCAAGGAACAAGAGCAGGUCAGGACCGCGCUCAUUGUUUGAUGAUCAAGAACCAACCUAAGAUGGGUUUUGGCCCAUCUCAACUAACAUGAGUAGCAGUGGCAAGGAAAAACUUCCUUUUAACAGGCAGAAACCUUGGGCAGGACCAGACUCAUGCUAGACAGCCACCAUGCCGCUGCUGGGUUGGGGUGGAAUGUAGAGAGAAGAGGGGAGAGGAGGAGAGGACAGGGGAAGGGAGAGAGACAGCAAGAUAGGGGAAAGGCGAGAGAGAAUUAGUACGGAGAGGGAGGGGGAGGGAGAGAGAGUAGGGAACGAGGGUGAGAGAGAGACAGGAGGCAGCAGGAACAACAGCAACAACGACAACAGCUCAUGUAAUGGUGAAACAAAAGACGUUCAGUUUACAGGUUUAGGAUAUGAGUGAUAAUGGACAAUGUUGAAUUAAUUGAGUGUGAUUACAGUUAGCAGGCUUAAUCGUAGUCAGUUCUAUUUUGUAUGUCAAUAAUGACAGUGAGGCUGAUGUUCAUGUCUGCAGUAACAGUAACAGCAACAGUCCAGAGGAAUCAGAGAGAACAAGGAGCUCAGGGGGGGGGGGGUCCACGGAGCCAAAGAGAUGGAGGAGCUCAGGGCCCAGGAUGGAUGCAGCUGGGGUCAGGCAGUUCCGCAGCAGACCGUUUGCAGCAUUAGUCCAGUGGCAGCUAAAAGACUCAGAGACACUCAGAGAGACAGAAAACUGGUCAGUGACUUAUAUGGGACAUAAAGAUCUAAAGAGGAGAUAGAGACAGACUCUAGCUCAGUGUGCCAGAUAGCCCCGGCAGUCUAGGCCUAUAGCAGCAUAACUAAGAGCUGGUUCAAAUCAGCCCUGACUAUAGGCUUUAUCAAAGAGGAACGUUUUAAGUCUACUCUUGAAAGUUGAGAGUGUGUCUGCCCCCCGAACCUCGAGCGGUAAAUGAUUCCAGAGGAGAGGUGCCUGGUAGCUGAAAGCUCUUCCUCCAACACUACUUUUAGAGACAUUUGGUACAACGAGCAGACCUGCAGACUGUGAGCGUAACGGUCUAGAUGGAAAGUACGGUAUAACUAGCUCGUCGAGAUAUGAUGGCGCCUGGCCAUUAAGCGCUUUAUAUGUCACAAGGAGGAUUUUAAACUCAAUUCUAUAUUUAAUAGGGAGCCAGUGAAGAGAGGCUAAAACAGGGGAGAUGUGCUCCCUUCUACUAGUUCUAGUCAAUACCCGAGCUGCUGCAUUUUGGACCAGCUGAAGAGUCCUUAAUGACUUACUAGAGCAGCCUGAUAGGAGAGAAUUACAGUAAUCCAGCCUAGAGGUAACAAAGGCAUGGACUAGUUUUUCUGCAUCGCUCUGAGACAAUAUGCGUCUAAUUUUUGAGAUAUUGCGCAGGUGGAAAAAGGCUGUCCUAGAAAUUUGUUGAAUGUGGGAGCUAAAAGAUAAAUCCUGAUCAAAUACAACUCCUAGAUUACGCACAGUGGGGUUGGAUGCCAGGCUGAUACCAUCAAAUGUAGCUAAAUUACUAGAGAACGCCUCUCUAAGGUGUUUAGGACCGAGGACCAGAACUUCAGUUUUGUCUGAGUUGAGCAUUAGAAAGUUAUUGGUCAUCCAGGAUUUUAUAUCUUUGAGGCAGGCUUCUAACCUGGCAACCUGGCCUGCUUCCUCUGGCUUUAUGGAUAGGUAUAGCUGGGUGUCAUCUGCAUAACAGUGGAAAUUAAUCGAAUACUUCCUCAUAAUUUUACCCAGCGGAAUCAUAUACAGGGUGAAGAGGAUUGGACCGAGCACUGACCCUUGCGGCACACCGUAGCAGACUUUGGUGUGUGCAGAGGAUUUAUUAUUUACAUUGACAAACUGGGAUCGAUCUGUUAGGUACGAUUUAAACCAGGAGAGAGCUGAUCCUGCUAUGCCUAUAGAUUGUUCUAGUCUCUGAAGCAGGAUGGAGUGGUCAAUUGUGUCAAAUGCUGCACUAAGAUCUAACAGGACUAGAACAGAGAGAAAACCAUUGUCUGAGGCUAUGAGUAGGUCAUUUGACACCUUUAGCAGAGCAGUCUCUGUGCUGUGAUGGGUUCUAAACCCAGACUGGAAAUCCUCUAAUAAACCAUUGUUAUGGAGAAAAUCACAGAGUUGAUUCGCAACAACUUUCUCUAGGAUUUUAGAAAUAAAAGGAAGGUUGGAUAUUGGUCUAUAGUUAGCUAGGGAGCUUGAGUCUAGAGUAGGUUUUUUAAGGAGAGGCUUAAUCAAUGCAGUCUUGAAAGACUGGGGAACAUAUCCUGUUAAUAAAGACGUGUUAAUCAUUUUGAGCAGGGACGUACUAAUCAAAGGAAGAGUUUCCUUCAGCAAUUUAGAUGGAAUUGGGUCUAAGAGACACGUCGAUGGUUUGGCUGCUAGCACCACUGACUUUAACUCAGGAAGGUCAAUAGGUACAAAAUUACUAAGGUGCACCAGAGGCCUUAGGGGCUCCUCAACAUUUUAAGGGUUAUCUGAGAGAGAGACCCUUGAUGGAGUCAAUAGGUUACUAAUUUUACCUCUUAUUUUUAAGAUUUUAUCAUUGAAGAAGCUCAGGAAGUCAUUGCUGCUAAGGGCUAAUGGGAUACAUGGUUCAGUGGUGCUCGGACAGUCUGUCAGCCUGGCUACAGUGCUGAAGAGAUAUCUGGGGUUAUUCUUAUUUUCCUCAAUAAGAGACGAGUAGUAGGUUGUCCGAGCACGUCGUAGGGCUUUCUUAUAUUUAUCGAGACAUUCCUGCCAGAGAAAACGAGCUUCAGCUGUUUUGGAGAAGCGCCAAAUCCUUUCACAUUUUCUUAAUAACUGUUUCAGCUCACGGGUUUCAGCAUUAUACCACGGGGCUAGCCUCUCGCGUGUAAUAGUUUUCUGUCGAAGAGGGGCAACUGAGUCUAGAACUGAUCGCAGUGUGCCUGAGGUAUCAUCAACAAACUGGUCGAGUUGCAAAGGACUGAUGUUUAAAUAUGAGCUAUCAGUAUAGUUUUUCUCAACUACAGAAUUUAGAGCAGACGGAAUUACCUCCUUGAACUUAGUAACAGCAUUUUCAGACAACCUUCUAGUUAGCACGAAUUUGUUGUGAGGAGAGUAACCUGAAAGCACAAAUUCAAAAGUUACUAGAAAGUGAUCAGAUAAUAGAGGAUUUAAUGAGCUGACUAACAGGGCAUCAGUUUCGAGGCCAUAAGCCAGGACGAGAUCGAGAGUGUGGUUAAAGCAGUGCGUAGGUCUAUGUACACACUGUGUAAACCCAAUUGAAUCUAGCAAGGACCGAAAAGAAAUGCUAAGGCUAUCAUUUUCCACAUCUAUGUGAAUAUUAAAGUCACCGACGACGAUGACUUUAUCUGCGAGAAGGACUAAUUCGGAUAGGAACUCUGAGAACUCUGACAAAAACUCAGAGUAUGGGCUCGGAGGGCGGUAAACUAUAGCAAAAUACCAGUGGUCUCAUGGACUUUGAGGCUGGGUGCGGGAGACUGAGAACGAGACUUUCAAAAGAGUUAUAAUCUAGUUUUGGUCUUGGGUUAAUUCUAAGACUGGAAUUGUAGAUAGCUGCAACUCCACCACCUCGGCCAGAGUCUCGAGGAAUGUGAAAGUUUAGGUGGCUAGGAGGAGUGGAUUCAUUUAAACUUACAUAUUCAUCCUUACGCAGCCAUGUUUCGGUUAGGGAGAGUAAAUCAAUGCGAUGAUCAGAGAUUAGUUCAUUUAUGAACACAGAUUUUGAAUUUAGAGACCUUAUAUUCAGUAGGCCACAUUUUAUCUUACUAGUACUUGGUUCAGCUAUGUUAACAGUUUUAAUUCUAGUAAGGUUCUUGUUAUUUACUCCUUUUUUAAUUGAUCGGUUAGAAUUUGAGAGCCGAGUACGAGGGACAGACACAGUCUCUAUAUUAAAGUGACAGUAGCUAGGAGGCUGCUCUAACAAAAGUACAGAGGAACGUGUAGAGCUGUGGCUAUGCUCCCUGAUUUCUAUGUCAAGCUGAGAGAAGCUUGGAAGCUGCUCUGAAGGGAGUACAGAGGGACGUUUUACACUGUGGCUCUGCUCCCUGAUUUCUAUGUCAAGCUGAGAGAAGCUUGGAAGCUGCUCUGAAGGGAGUACAGAGGGACGUUUUACACUGUGGCUCUGCUCCCUGAUUUCUAUGUCAAGCUGAGAGUAGCUUAGAAGCUGCUCUGAAGGGAGUACAGAGGGGCGUUUUACACUGCGGCUCUGCUCCCUGAUUUCUAAGUCAAGCUGAUUGUAGCUUGGAAGCUGCUCUGAAG